GGGGCAUGUGAGGGCUGUCGCUGACUCAAAGUCGUGCACGCCCGAGUGUGUCCUCUCACAUAAUAAUCCAUCUCACCCUUUGUGCAUCGCCGCGUGAGCACCCUUUGGGAUCAUCUCGGAGGGGGCUCGCGUUUUCACACAAACCCCCCUUUUAAAAGUGUAGAAUGACCUCAUUUAUGCGCUAACACGCAAUCAAUACAACUUUCAACAACGGAUCUCUUGGCUCUCGCAUCGAUGAAGAACGCAGCGAAAUGCGAUACGUAAUGUGAAUUGCAGAAUUCAGUGAAUCAUCGAAUCUUUGAACGCACCUUGCGCCCCUUGGUAUUCCGAGGGGCACACCCGUUUGAGUGUCGUGAAAACCUCAACCUCCUUGGUUUCUUCUGGAGACCAAAGGCAGGCUUGGACUUUGGAGGCCCUUGCUGGAACCUCUCUCUUUUGAAGGCCAGCUCCUCUUAAACGAAUUAGCAGGGUCCUCUUUGCCGAUCCUCGACGUGUGAUAAGAUGUUUCCAUGUCUUGGUUUCUGGCUCUGUCACUUUUGGGACCCGCUUCUAACCGUCUUGACCUUGCAUCGAGACAAUGUUCGAGCAUGUCUCCCUUCUCGGGAAGCUCCCUCGACCCCACAAACCCUUGACCUCAAAUCGGGUGAGACUACCCGCUGAACUUAAGCAUAUCAAUAAGCGGGA
rnacentral:rRNA from 1 species